AGAAUGGGAGAUCUCUCUCGUCGGGACAUCGAAGCAGAGAAGCUGAUCUCAUACAGCGACGAUCUUGUGGCGGUGUUGCAGGACAAGAAAAACAUCGGAAAACUGAUGCUGUGUCUGGAACAGUCGAAGGAACUUCAGUCCUAUUGCGCUUCGAAUUUCAAAUAGACUCGGAGAUUGAUCGAAGAUUAUCAUAGGAAGAUAUAUUCGUGCAGGAAAAAUACAAAUAUGUCAAAAUCUGAAGUUACCGCGGAUUCUCAUUUUGAGCUUCUCCAGAUAGAUUAAGAAGAGGAACUUCAGAAUGAACGUGAGCUUAUGGAGGAGCUCGGAGUGAUCAUCAACGAGAUUAAUAAACUAGAACGUCAAAAGGAUUUCUUUGGCAGAGCGGUAGCGAUAUCUGAAGAAACUCGUGAGGGCAGAGAGGGAGCUCCCAAUGUAUGCUUCAGUCACAAACAUCAUUCCAAACUUGAACGAUGACGUAAUUCCAGGGCACAUUUGUGGGUAACGAUGCAAGUGCCGUCAAAAGUUCGACUUCAAACCAACGAAAAUGACUGCCAUUGGUACUAGUCAGAGCAUUUGGAAGAAGAUCAAUUUGCACUAGAUUUGGAGAUUUUCUGCUCAGCCAAGUAAUCUGGCAUUUAACUCCUGAAGAAGGAAUCGCAAUAUUUUUUUAUCUGGGGAAUCGCAACUUAUCUACUUGCCUGUUCUACUCGAGUCAUAUUAAAAGAAGCUCUCAGCCUAACCUUUAUUGAAGAGUCCGUGCAGCCAAGGCACAAUUUUGCGGGAAGGAAAAAGACUUGCACAAAGUUCGGGGGCACAAUCAAUUCGAGCAAGGCUUGGUGAGACAAGCACUGCCUGGAGAAAAUGCAGGACGACCUGCCAUUUGUCCCUACAUAGCUUUCUAACC